GCGAUGAUAGUGUAGUGGUAGCAUGUCUGACUAUCAGGUUACGGACUGCCCUGGUUCAAUUCCAGGUUGUUGCC